rnacentral:rRNA from 1 species
AUUGAACGCUGGCGGCAGGCCUAAUACAUGCAAGUAGAGCGGAGUGGCGGACGGGCGAGUAAUGACUAGGAAUCUGCCUGGCAGUGUGGGAUAACGUCCCGAAACGGGCGCUAAUAUCGUAUCCUAUUAGAUGCGCUUAGGUCGGAUUAGCUAGUGGGUGGGGUAAUGGCCUACCAAGACGCCGAUCCGUAACUGGUCUGAGAGGAUGAUCAGUCACACUGGAACGGAGACACGGUCCAGAUUCCUACGGGAGGCAGCAGUGGGGAAUAUUGGACAUUGGGCGAAAGCCUGAUCCAGCCAUGCCGCGUGUGUGAAGAAGGUCUUCGGAUUGUAAAGCACUUUAAGUUGGGAGGCGUUACCAACAGAAUAAGCACCGGCUAACUACGUGCCAGCCGCCGCGGUAAUUC